UAUAUAAACAGGGCAGUUUGGCUGCUGGAGGCUAGGCAGCAACAUUGUCUGGCUGGAGGGCUGCUGAGAACAAUCUGGAGGGUGAACAGUUAAACUGGCUCUAUUCUCUUUUGACAAGCCAACAGCUGUUUUUCCAAGGCAACAGAAAGAGCACCUAGCAAAUAAAUUAUCAAAAGUCUAGUAAAUUACAAAAGCUCCUGGUUCUUUGCCUGACUCUGGAAGGAAGACAAGCCUCUGAUGUCAUAACUAUGCUACUUCCAGCACAGUCCCCGCUGAGAAGCCCACCCUGCUACCUGUUCUUCUUCUGCCUGAACCAAAACCAGAAAUAAGGGAACAAAGCUAUUUUGGGGCAUCCCCCACUCUUAAGUUCUCCCCCCCAUUGACGCUCUUGAGGUAAGCUGAAAGACAGUGGUGGGGAGUACCCUCCUAGGGUCUUCAAUGCCUCAUUUCUUGGUUUGAUAUAUGUGGAGUAAGAGUGGAGUUCUCUAGAAUACAGUGGAAGCCAAACCACCUAAAAGGAGACAAUUUAUAUUUAAAGAACUAUUUGCUUUUUCCUGGAAAAAAUAUGCACAGAAGGUCCAAAGACAGUGAAGAAGGCAAUAAGAACUUGACAUGGAAUGAAGAGGAGGAAGGGAAAUGUUGAUUCAGUAUUCCCAUGUGUUUUAUAGAUAAAAUUCUUGGAUGGAUCUUGAAGUUGGCUAUUUUGUAUGCUUUGACAUAACAUCCAUAUUUUUACUGGCACUGUGAGGGUUAUCCGUUGCAUGCAUGUUUCUUUGUUUCAGGGUUUUUGGUGGUGAGGGUGUAUUUUUUGGACAUACGUUAACAAUGGAUGACAUUCAUGGCUAUUCACUUCAGUAAAAAAUGAAUAAACAUGAAUAGAACCCCUUGUUCAUACCUUUAGGUUUUUUAAAAAAAAAUUCUUGGUGGUUCAACAGACAGCACAGCAUAUUUCAGUUGAAGGGAAGGAUACGAUAGUGAUUUGACCAAUGAAUUUUAUUGUCACUAUAUGUAGAAUAAGACAUUUGAAUAAUCUGAAUUUCUGUGAAUGGAUUUAUAGUCUCAGUGUAUCCAUGUUUAGUUGCUAUCCUAUAUUAAUGUAAGAAUUAUUCAUCCUUUCCACCAAACCACCUAAGAGGAGAAACAGAAUUUAUACUGAAGGAACUAUUUCAUUUUUCCUGGAAAGAAAAAACCAUACUAGGACAAAUCUGAAAAGCAUCUGCUCGUAGUCUUGAAUACAAAAAUCUCUCAAAAUCUGGACACUAUGCCAAUGUUUAUGGUAUGCAUUAUAUUGCAGUAUUCAAAUAAACUUUCAUAACAUAAAGUUUAAAGAAAAAAUGUUAUGAACAGAAAGAGCUGUUUCUAAUAAU